GACGAACGCUGGCGGCGUGCUUAACACAUGCAAGUCGACCGGAAAGGCCCUGCUUGCAGGGUACUCGAGUGGCGAACGGGUGAGUAACACGUGGGUGAUCUGCCCUGCACUUCGGGAUAAGCUUGGGAAACUGGGUCUAAUACCGGAUAGGAGCCAUCUUUAGUGUGGUGGUUGGAAAGUUUUUUCGGUGUAGGAUGAGCUCGCGGCCUAUCAGCUUGUUGGUGGGGUAAUGGCCUACCAAGGCGGCGACGGGUAGCCGGCCUGAGAGGGUGUACGGCCACAUUGGGACUGAGAUACGGCCCAGACUCCUACGGGAGGCAGCAGUGGGGAAUAUUGCACAAUGGGCGCAAGCCUGAUGCAGCGACGCCGCGUGGGGGAUGAAGGCCUUCGGGUUGUAAACUCCUUUCGCUAGGGACGAAGCUUUGUUGUGACGGUACCUAGAUAAGAAGCACCGGCUAACUACGUG
rnacentral:rRNA from 1 species